CAAUAGAUACCCAGGUAGUCCACGCCCUAAACGAUGUCUACUAGUUGUCGGGUUUUAAUUAACUUGGUAACGCAGCUAACGCGUGAAGUAGACCGCCUGGGGAGUACGGUCGCAAGAUUAAAACUCAAAGGAAUUGACGGGGACCCGCACAAGCGGUGGGAUGAUGUGGAUUAAUUCGAUGCAACGCGAAAAACCUUACCUACCCUUGACAUGUCAGGAAUCCUGGAGAGAUCUGGGAGUGCCCGAAAGGGAGCCUGAACACAGGUGCUGCAUGGCUGUCGUCAGCUCGUGUCGUGAGAUGUUGGGUUAAGUCCCGCAACGAGCGCAACCCUUGUCAUUAGUUGCUACGAAAGGGCACUCUAAUGAGACUGCCGGUGACAAACCGGGAGGAAGGUGGGGAUGACGUCAAGGUCCUCAUGGCCCCUUAUGGGGUAGGGCUUCACACGUCAUACAAUGGUACAUACAGAGGGCCGCCAACCCGGCGGAGGGGGAGCUAAUCCCAGAAAGUGUAUCGUAGUCCGGAUCGUAGUCUGCAACUCGACUA
rnacentral:rRNA from 1 species